UACGGAGGGGGCUAGCGUUGUUCGGAAUUACUGGGCGUAAAGGGCGCGUAGGCGGCCAUCUAAGUCAGACGUGAAAUCCCCCGGCUUAACCUGGGAACUGCGUCUGAUACUGGAAGGCUUGAGUAUGGGAGAGGGAUGUAGAAUUCCAGGUGUAGCGGUGAAAUGCGUAGAUAUCUGGAGGAAUACCGGUGGCGAAGGCGGCAUCCUGGACCAUUACUGACGCUGAGGCGCGAAAGCUAGGGGAGCAAACGGG
rnacentral:rRNA from 1 species